UACGAAGGGGGCUAGCGUUGCUCGGAAUUACUGGGCGUAAAGGGCGCGUAGGCGGACAGUUAAGUCAGAGGUGAAAGCCCAGGGCUCAACCCUGGAAUAGCCUUUGAUACUGGCUGUCUUGAGUGCGGGAGAGGUGUGUGGAACUCCGAGUGUAGAGGUGAAAUUCGUAGAUAUUCGGAAGGACACCAGUGGCGAAGGCGACACACUGGCCCGUAACUGACGCUGAGGCGCGAAAGCGUGGGGAGCAAACAGG
rnacentral:rRNA from 1 species